rnacentral:rRNA from 1 species
AAGGUAGCGAAAUUCCUUGUCGGGUAAGUUCCGACCUGCACGAAUGGCGUAACGACUUCCCCGCUGUCUCCAACAUAGGCUCAGCGAAAUUGAAUUCUCCGUGAAGAUGCGGAGUUCCCGCGGUCAGACGGAAAGACCCCGUGCACCUUUACUACAACUUCACAGUGGCGUUAGCGACGAUCUGUGUAGGAUAGGCCGGAGACUUUGAAGC